rnacentral:tRNA from 1 species
GGAGAGGUGACAGAGUGGUCGAUUGUGCAGCACUGGAAAUGCUGUUUACCCGCAAGGUAACCAGGGUUCGAAUCCCUGCCUCUCCGCCA